CCUACGGGAGGCAGCAGUGAGGAAUAUUGGUCAAUGGGCGCGAGCCUGAACCAGCCAAGUCGCGUGAGGGAUGACGGUCCUACGGAUUGUAAACCUCUUUUGCCGGGGAGCAAGCGUGCGUUCGUGAACGCGCGUCGAGAGUACCCGGAGAAAAAGCAUCGGCUAACUCCGUGCCAGCAGCCGCGGUAAUACGGAGGAUGCGAGCGUUAUCCGGAUUUAUUGGGUUUAAAGGGUGCGUAGGCGGGAUGCCAAGUCAGCGGUAAAAAUGCGGUGCUCAACGCCGUCGAGCCGUUGAAACUGGCGUUCUUGAGUGGGCGAGAAGUAUGCGGAAUGCGUGGUGUAGCGGUGAAAUGCAUAGAGAUCACGCAGAACUCCGAUUGCGAAGGCAGCCUGCCGGGGUGCGACUGACGCUGAGGCUCGAAGGUGCGGGUAUCAAACAGGAUUAGAUACCCUUGUAGUC
rnacentral:rRNA from 1 species